CUAAUUUCACUUGCAUCUCCGGCUUCUCUCCUGUGUUUGAAUAAAUUUCAAUUAACAGCAGGAAAAUCACUUUUAAAGUAAACACUGCACUGAGGGAAUCUGAUUUAAAAAUGAUAUUGUAUCCCAUGAGGUGUGGGUACAGCAGCAACAGUUCAGUUUUAAUGGCAACGAGUUUAGCAGAAUGACUGCAGUGGUUUGAUCUUUACACUAACACUUUAAAGUUAAAGUGCCCUUUAAAAUAAAAUAUAUAUUUUUAUAUAGACUCCAAGCACCAUAAGGGCAUAGUAGGGCAAG